GAGUGUCUGGAGUCUGUCUGAAACUGAUAAAAAUUGGUGAUGGAGUUUUAAGACUCUCGCUCCAUAUCCAUUCGAAAAAACGGAGAAAACGGAAUGGGACUACGUGUUUUUUUCUCUCAGCAAGCAAUGUUAGACCAAUCGUUGUCAAAAAUCAACAUAGUCUUGUAACGCAUCCAAAGUUUUAUUGAGUGUUUAUCACCAGACAGUUCAUUAAUUCACAGCCCUCUGUCCAGUGAAGGCGUGAUGAAGAGGAUGUGUCCCUCCAUGAAAUAUGUCUGCAGCGAGAGAGCAGGUUUCGGCUGGUGGGACGACACAACGCUGUCUCAUAAAGUAUAUCCUGUCCCAAGAAACACUGGCAGCAGGCACGGCGCCAGGAGAGGUUGAACCAAACCCUGUCCUCUUCCCGGUGAGAUCACUGGGGAGAAAUCGGUUGGUAAUACUGUCAGAACUAAACAUGGCAGAGCUAUGCUGCUCACCUCUGGAACCAACCUCCUGAUGACAUCAAAGGGUCUCCAAAUGUAGCGAGCUUCAGAUGAAGGUUCAAAACCCAUCUUUUCUCCAAUGCGUUUUGUCCAGUGAUUCAAUGCACUGUACUUUUUUUUUUAUUUUUGUCAUGGCUUUAGCUGAUUUGAAAUGCUUCUUCCUUUUUAAUAGUUUAAUUUUAUGGUCUGUAUACAGUGUUAAUGCGUUUCACCUUUUUUAAUCUCUUAUUUCUUCUGAUGUGUUUUUUUAUCUGGUAAUUUGUAAAAUCACUCUGAAUUACCCACCUGCAUGAAUUGUUCAAUUCAAAUAAAGUGUCACUGUCUG